CGAGCAUGCCCGUUCGCAGGUUAAGGGUGGGCAUAGCUCUGGAGAAAUCGAAUUGAUUCAGGCCGCUGAUUGGCUAGCGGCAGAUAGCACGUUGGAUUUCCAACGUGAGCUCUACGCAUGCUUAGCAAUUGUUGCAAAAUAUAAACAAAGUGUUUAGAAUUUCUCGUCGAAAAUUUGCUACUUUUUACACUGAAAUCGAAUUGAAAACAAAUAGAAAUUCUGGGGGAAAUAUGUACGAAAGCUUCGGAUUGAUAGGGAAACAAGUACCUGAAAAAUACAAGGAGAACUUUGACGUGUCGAGCGAAGGCGAAGCGACUUGUACUGUAAUAGUUUGUAACUUUGUAUACAAUACUCGUAUUUGACCUUUUAUACUGUCGUACCUAACACUACGCGGUAUACCAUAAAUUCUGACAGGAGAGUUAAAUGUAAAUUUUAAAGCACAUAUAUAUUAUACUCAUUCUUGAGGAGAUUAUAUUUAUCAGUAAAGGUAAAGUACAAAUGUAUACAAACACUACAAUACAUGUCGAAGCGCCUUUGCACGAAAUGUCGAAGCUAGUUCUCCUUGUACUUUUUUCAG
rnacentral:lncRNA from 1 species